AAGGCCGUUUCCGAGGAAAGUCCGAGCUCCAAAGGGCGGGAUAGCUGCUAACGGCAGCCGGAGGCGACUCUAGGGAAAGUGCAACAGAGAGAUACCGCCAAAGCGUGGUUUUCCCCGCUGGCAAGGGUGGAAAGGCGAGGUAAGAGCUCACCAGCGUCCAGGAGACUGGACGGCUAUGUAAACCCUAUCCGGAGCAACACCACAGGGAGGGCAUCAAGCGCCGGCCCGGCGUGUCCUCGAGAAGGUGGCUGGAGCCUUAUGGCGACGUAAGGCCAAGAGAGACCGUUGUCAAAUACAGAACUCGGCUUAUAUGUUUGGUC
rnacentral:RNase_P_RNA from 1 species